CUUAAAGCCGACUGUGUUAUCGACUACCAACGAAAUAACAAGGGUGUAGCCUAUUUUUACUCUUACAUAUAGUUUUAGUACUUGGCAACGAAACGCUCACUGAUAAGCAUAUAAGAUCUCCGGUUUACCAAAGAAUGAAAAUUUUUAAAACUGCUUUUAGAUAUUUACUUCGUCAUCACAUAAAGGAUGUUUUACAUUUUGUUUUUGCAAAUACAUAUACAAGUAUAUGUAUGUAUGGAGAUAUGUUGGAGUGAGUUUGCUGAAUCGGUACAAUAAGUACUGAGAUCUGAGUACGUUAAUCAACGCUGAGCGAAAUACAGACAACACACACUGCAAAUAAUAAACAAGGGAGCAGAGAAUGUGUGGAGAGGAGCAAUGGGCACAAAAAUGCUGCGCAUUAUAAGUGUGUGAUAAGUAGGUAUGAAACCAAGAAUACUACAUCAUGUUUAAAGCUGUUUGGGGGCUUAAAGUAAUGAGUUGCAAUUGAGCUUCAUUAUUCAUAUAUUUUAAGAAUAGUAGUUACAUAAAUAAAGGGUUGAGUGAAGCAUAUUACGCGGGACAUGCAAUGUCGGAUUUAUAUCCGAUAUAAUAUUAUAUUGUUCAAUAAAUUAAUAAUACUUAACUUAAAUUGUAGUAGUUUAAACCUGAUUCUUUUAAUUUUCCAAUAUAAAAAUAAACAUUUAACACCAACUUUGUAAUUUUCAAUGUGUUUGCUGUCAUAUGCUAUAUAUUCGUAAAAUCUCCGGGCAGCAGUUUCGCGCCUCAACCGAAAAACAUGGGGAUGAAUUAUUUUGGUAUACACGUGCUAAUGACAGCUAACGGUUACAAAAACAACAAUGUCUUGAUUUUUUAUAUCUAAUUAAAGUUUUAAAAUAUGAUCCUGAAUAA